rnacentral:rRNA from 1 species
UUAAGCGACUAAGCGUACACGGUGGAUGCCCUGGCAGUCAGAGGCGAUGAAGGACGUGCUAAUCUGCGAUAAGCGUCGGUAAGGUGAUAUGAACCGUUAUAACCGGCGAUUUCCGAAUGGGGAAACCCAGUGUGUUUCGACACACUAUCAUUAACUGAAUCCAUAGGUUAAUGAGGCGAACCGGGGGAACUGAAACAUCUAAGUACCCCGAGGAAAAGAAAUCAACCGAGAUUCCCCCAGUAGCGGCGAGCGAACGGGGAGCAGCCCAGAGCCUGAAUCAGUGUGUGUGUUAGUGGAAGCGUCUGGAAAGGCGCGCGAUACAGGGUGACAGCCCCGUACACAAAAAUGCACAUGCUGUGAGCUCGAUGAGUAGGGCGGGACACGUGGUAUCCUGUCUGAAUAUGGGGGGACCAUCCUCCAAGGCUAAAUACUCCUGACUGACCGAUAGUGAACCAGUACCGUGAGGGAAAGGCGAAAAGAACCCCGGCGAGGGGAGUGAAAAAGAACCUGAAACCGUGUACGUACAAGCAGUGGGAGCACGCUUAGGCGUGUGACUGCGUACCUUUUGUAUAAUGGGUCAGCGACUUAUAUUCUGUAGCAAGGUUAACCGAAUAGGGGAGCCGAAGGGAAACCGAGUCUUAACUGGGCGUUAAGUUGCAGGGUAUAGACCCGAAACCCGGUGAUCUAGCCAUGGGCAGGUUGAAGGUUGGGUAACACUAACUGGAGGACCGAACCGACUAAUGUUGAAAAAUUAGCGGAUGACUUGUGGCUGGGGGUGAAAGGCCAAUCAAACCGGGAGAUAGCUGGUUCUCCCCGAAAGCUAUUUAGGUAGCGCCUCGUGAAUUCAUCUCCGGGGGUAGAGCACUGUUUCGGCAAGGGGGUCAUCCCGACUUACCAACCCGAUGCAAACUGCGAAUACCGGAGAAUGUUAUCACGGGAGACACACGGCGGGUGCUAACGUCCGUCGUGAAGAGGGAAACAACCCAGACCGCCAGCUAAGGUCCCAAAGUCAUGGUUAAGUGGGAAACGAUGUGGGAAGGCCCAGACAGCCAGGAUGUUGGCUUAGAAGCAGCCAUCAUUUAAAGAAAGCGUAAUAGCUCACUGGUCGAGUCGGCCUGCGCGGAAGAUGUAACGGGGCUAAACCAUGCACCGAAGCUGCGGCAGCGACGCUUAUGCGUUGUUGGGUAGGGGAGCGUUCUGUAAGCCUGCGAAGGUGUGCUGUGAGGCAUGCUGGAGGUAUCAGAAGUGCGAAUGCUGACAUAAGUAACGAUAAAGCGGGUGAAAAGCCCGCUCGCCGGAAGACCAAGGGUUCCUGUCCAACGUUAAUCGGGGCAGGGUGAGUCGACCCCUAAGGCGAGGCCGAAAGGCGUAGUCGAUGGGAAACAGGUUAAUAUUCCUGUACUUGGUGUUACUGCGAAGGGGGGACGGAGAAGGCUAUGUUGGCCGGGCGACGGUUGUCCCGGUUUAAGCGUGUAGGCUGGUUUUCCAGGCAAAUCCGGAAAAUCAAGGCUGAGGCGUGAUGACGAGGCACUACGGUGCUGAAGCAACAAAUGCCCUGCUUCCAGGAAAAGCCUCUAAGCAUCAGGUAACAUCAAAUCGUACCCCAAACCGACACAGGUGGUCAGGUAGAGAAUACCAAGGCGCUUGAGAGAACUCGGGUGAAGGAACUAGGCAAAAUGGUGCCGUAACUUCGGGAGAAGGCACGCUGAUAUGUAGGUGAAGUCCCUCGCGGAUGGAGCUGAAAUCAGUCGAAGAUACCAGCUGGCUGCAACUGUUUAUUAAAAACACAGCACUGUGCAAACACGAAAGUGGACGUAUACGGUGUGACGCCUGCCCGGUGCCGGAAGGUUAAUUGAUGGGGUUAGCGCAAGCGAAGCUCUUGAUCGAAGCCCCGGUAAACGGCGGCCGUAACUAUAACGGUCCUAAGGUAGCGAAAUUCCUUGUCGGGUAAGUUCCGACCUGCACGAAUGGCGUAAUGAUGGCCAGGCUGUCUCCACCCGAGACUCAGUGAAAUUGAACUCGCUGUGAAGAUGCAGUGUACCCGCGGCAAGACGGAAAGACCCCGUGAACCUUUACUAUAGCUUGACACUGAACAUUGAGCCUUGAUGUGUAGGAUAGGUGGGAGGCUUGGAAGUGUGGACGCCAGUCUGCAUGGAGCCGACCUUGAAAUACCACCCUUUAAUGUUUGAUGUUCUAACGUGGACCCGUGAUCCGGGUUGCGGACAGUGUCUGGUGGGUAGUUUGACUGGGGCGGUCUCCUCCUAAAGAGUAACGGAGGAGCACGAAGGUUGGCUAAUCCUGGUCGGACAUCAGGAGGUUAGUGCAAUGGCAUAAGCCAGCUUGACUGCGAGCGUGACGGCGCGAGCAGGUGCGAAAGCAGGUCAUAGUGAUCCGGUGGUUCUGAAUGGAAGGGCCAUCGCUCAACGGAUAAAAGGUACUCCGGGGAUAACAGGCUGAUACCGCCCAAGAGUUCAUAUCGACGGCGGUGUUUGGCACCUCGAUGUCGGCUCAUCACAUCCUGGGGCUGAAGUAGGUCCCAAGGGUAUGGCUGUUCGCCAUUUAAAGUGGUACGCGAGCUGGGUUUAGAACGUCGUGAGACAGUUCGGUCCCUAUCUGCCGUGGGCGCUGGAGAACUGAGGGGGGCUGCUCCUAGUACGAGAGGACCGGAGUGGACGCAUCACUGGUGUUCGGGUUGUCAUGCCAAUGGCACUGCCCGGUAGCUAAAUGCGGAAGAGAUAAGUGCUGAAAGCAUCUAAGCACGAAACUUGCCCCGAGAUGAGUUCUCCCUGACCCUUUAAGGGUCCUGAAGGAACGUUGAAGACGACGACGUUGAUAGGCCGGGUGUGUAAGCGCAGCGAUGCGUUGAGCUAACCGGUACUAAUGAACCGUGAGGCUUAACCUU